rnacentral:lncRNA from 1 species
GCGGAUCGUGACUCGAUCGUUUGCGCUGGUAAUUUGCUUUGCUCGUCUUGUUCGGUGUUAAGCACUUUGAUUUCGGCAUCAUUUUGUCUCUGUUUGUACCGUUUGGUUAUCGAGAAAACGUCGGAAAGGUAUAGAAAUUUUUUUUCUCGACAAACCGAGAAAACGUGGGUUUGUAAUUUGUACCUUUUGUACUGCGGGUAAUUUUAUUUUCUUCCUCUUAUCUCAUCCUUUUAAUUAACGCGGAGAUUCUUCGCGGAUCGUGACUCGAUCGCUUGCGCUGGUUACUCAUCUUGGUCGUUGUUAAACACUUUUGAUUUCGGCAUCAUUUUGUCUCAGUUUGUACCGUUUGGUUCUCGAGAAAACGUUGGAAAGCAAUAGAAAAUUUUCUUUCCUCGAGAAACCGAGAAAACGUUGGUUUGUAUGGCGGGUAAUUUUCUUUUAUUCUUCUUCUCUCACUCCCUCUCAACAAACCAUCUUUUCGCUGCUUUAUCUGAUAAAGAAUUUGUUUAACAAAUAAGGUAUUUCUUAAUAUUUUUUUUUCUUUUUUCCUUUUGAAGAUUUGGAGAACGGUGGAGGGAAAGCGGAUCUUGAUCUGAGGACAUGCUGUUGAUCAGAUGAGUUUUGAACUGAUUAGUUUUUUUGCGUGAUGUUUUUUAUACCUUAUCACUUCUUUUUUUUUUUAUGAUGUACCGCGGGUAAUUUUCUUUUAUUCUUCUUCUCUCACUCCCUCUCAACAAACCAUCUUUUCGCUGCUUUAUCUGAUAAGAAUUUGUUUAACACAUAAGGUUCUCUUAAUAUUUUUUUUUCUUUUUUCCUUUUUGAAGAUUUGGAGAACGGUGGAGGGAAAGCGGAUCUUGAUCUGAGGACAUGCUGUUGAUCAGAUGAGUUUUGAACUGAUUAGUUUUUUUGCGUUAUGUUUUAUACCUUAUCACUUCUUUUUUUUUUUAUGAUGUACCGCGGGUAAUUUUCUUUUCUUCCUCUUCUCUCAUCCAUUUAAUUAAUGCGGAGAUUCUUUGCGGAUCGUGACUCAUAGCUUGCGCUGGUUAUUUGCUCAUCUUGUUCGUUGUUAAACGCUUUUGAUUUCGGUAUCAAUUUGUCUCGGUUUGUACUGUUUGGUUCUCGAGAAAACGUCAGUUUGUACCGCGGGUAUUUUUUUUUCUCUUCCUAUUCUCUCAUCCAUUUAAUUAACUUGAAGAUUCUUCGCGGAUCGUGACUCGAUCUUUUGCACUGGUUAUUUGCUCGUCUUGUUCGGUGUUAAACGCUUUUGAUUUGGCAUCAAUUUAUCUCGGUUUUGUACAGUUUGGUUCUCGAGAAUACGUCGGAAAGCAUAGAAAAUUUUCCUUUCUCGAGAACCGAGAAAACGUCGGUUUUGUACCUCUGGUAAGUUCUUUCUUCGUCUUCGCUCACAAACCAAACGUAACAAUGUAAUCUCUUAAUAUGUUUUUUCUUUUUUCCUUUUUGAAUGUGGAGAACGGUGGAGAAAGCGGAUCUUGAUCUGAGGACAUGCUGUUGAUCAGAUGAGUUUUGAACUGAUUAGUUUUUUUGCGUGAUGUUUUUUAUACCUUAUCACUCUUUUUUUUUUUAUGAUGUACCGCGGGUAAUUUUCUUUUCUUCCUCUUCUCUCACAGCCAUUAAUUAAUGCGGAGAUUCUUUGGCCGGAUCGUGACUCAUAGCUUGCGCGUGUUAUUUUCUCAUCUUUGUUUCGUUUUUAAACGCUUUUGAUUUCGGUAUCAAUUUGUCUCGUUUGUACUGUUUGGUUCUCGAGAAAACGUCAGUUUGUCCGCGGGUAUUUUUUUUUGUUUUCUCUUUUCUCUUCUAUUCUCGUCUCCCAUUUAAUUAACUUGAAGAUUCUUCGCGGAUCGUGACUCGAUCUUUUGCACUGGUUAUUUGCUCGUCUUGUUCGGUGUUAAACGCUUUUGAUUUCGGCAUCAAUUUAUCUCGGUUUGUACCGUUUGGUUCUCGAGAAUACGUCGGAAAGCAAUAGAAAAUUUUCCUUUCUCGAGAAACCGAGAAAACGUCGGUUUGUACCUCUGGUAAGUUUCUUUUCUUCUUCUUCUCUCAACAAACCAAACGAACAAUGUAUCUCUUAAUAUUUUUUUUCUUUUUUCCUUUUUGAAGAUUUGUAGAUCAACGGUGGAGGGAAAGCGGAUCCUGAUUUGAGGACGUGCUGUUGAUCAGAUGUUUUGAACUCAUUAGGUUUUUACGUUAUUGUUUAUACCUUAUCACUGUUUUUUUAUGUAUAGCGGGUAAUUUUCUUUUCUUCCUCUUCUCUCAUCCAUUUAAUUAACUUGAAGAUUCUUCGUGGAUCGUGACUCGAUCUCUUGCGCUGGUUAUUUGCUCAUCUUGUUCGUUGUUAAACGCUUUUGAUUUCGGCAUCAAUUUCUCGGUUUGUACCGUUUGGUUCUUGAGAAAACGUUGAAAGCAAUGGAAUUUUUUUUUCUCCAGAAAUCGAGAAAACCGCAGAUAAUUUUCUUUAAUACCUAUUCUCUCAUCCAAUUAA